rnacentral:lncRNA from 1 species
AGUUAUCCCCAAGAUUUAGCCUCAGGGGUCUUAAGUGGCCAUAUUUCCUCCAUCCCAAGGCUAUGCAUAGUUCAUAGUUCACUUUAUCAUUUGGGGAUCAGAGGUGGAAAGGUUUAUUAACCCAUUUGCACAGCAAGAAAAUUCUUAUAUUGUCUCCUAGGUACUCUUGAUGCUAAAACUUCUCAGGAUUUUCUAUUUAAACCUACUAGACAUCUAGCUUUGUAGCCUGCUAUUUCCUGCCUUCCUCCACAGACUAACCGCAUAUGCUGGUAGCUCCCACCAAAGUUUCAGAUCAUUUCAGCUGCAGAGCGUUAGCUAGUCCUUUGUUUGAUCAUAAACCAUCUGUUCAUAUGCCCAAGGGGCUUCAUUCUCAUAUUUAUGACCAAACAUGACUCUUCUCUCCCUAGGAGAAAUUCUGUGCCAGCUCUUAAAGUCAUAUAUUUUUUCCUCCUUCUGCUACUUUGCAAUAGAGCUUAUAUGCUUGGCCCUUCAUGCAGGAAAUUGUGUGUUUAUGUUGUUACAUUCUCAUGGAAAAACAAAACUGUGAAGACAUCAAGAUUUACUGGUUUACUUCAGGGCUUCUGGCCCCAAAGGAUUCAUCCCAAUCUCUCCUGUCCUUGAACUCUUAUUCCCUACAGAAGUCCCAACAAAAUGGAUAAAGGGGAGGGGCAGUGGAAAAAUUUCAGUUCAGAGCUGUAGGUAUCCACUCCCACGCCCUACCACAACUCAACAUAUUUCACCAAUAAAACAAAUCAAAACC